rnacentral:rRNA from 1 species
GAGUUUGAUCCUGGCUCAGGAUGAACGCUGGCGGCGUGCUUAACACAUGCAAGUCGAACGAAGCGCCUUAUUUGAUUUUCUUCGGAACUGAAGAUUUGGUGACUGAGUGGCGGACGGGUGAGUAACGCGUGGGUAACCUGCCCUGUACAGGGGGAGUAACAAUACAGAAAUAGACUGCUAAUUAACCGCCAUAAGAACCACAGCACCGCAUGGUGCA